rnacentral:rRNA from 1 species
GAUGAACGCUGGCGGCGUGCCUAAUACAUGCAAGUCGAGCGAACGGACGAGAAGCUUGCUUCUCUGAUGUUAGCGGCGGACGGGCGAGUAACACGUGGAUAACCUACCUAUAAGACUGGGAUAACUUCGGGAAAACGGAGCUAAUACCGGAUAAUAUUUUGAACCGCAUGGUUCAAAAGUGAAAGACGGUCUUGCUGUCUGUUAUAGACGGAUCCGCGCUGGAUUAGCUAGUUGGUAAGGUAACGGCAUACCAAGGCAACGAUGCAUAGCCGACCUGAGAGGAUGAUCGGCCACACUGGAACUGAGACACGGUCCAGACUCCUACGGGAGGCAGCAGUAGGGAAUCUUCCGCAAUGGGCGAAAGCCUGACGGAGCCACGCCGCGUGAGUGAUGAAGGUCUUCGGAUCGUAAAGCUCUGUUAUUAGGGAAGAACAUAUGUGUAAUUAACUGUCCACAUCUUGACGGUACCUAAUCAGAAAGCCACGGCUAACUUCGUG